GCGUCAGUUGGCGGGAUGGAACCCACGACCUCCCGCAUACCAGGCGAGCUAGUUAACAUCUCGUUACCGCGGCACUUUCCCCAUCCCAUCGUCAAGAUGAGAGGAAGUCGCUCGGGACUUGACAACGAGAGAGGCGUGGAGCGGGGUAGAGACGAGGCGUUAUGGGAUUCGUACGGCCGUGACGCACGCCCGGGCGAGACCGAGCGGGGCAUCUGAAAGUCGUGGAAUCGCCCCCGCGGUAAUGCGUCUUCAGUGCCCAUCGCCGUGUUAAUUACAAGUUUUUCAUAUAAUUGUUUUUAUUUUAUUUCAUUUUGACAAGAGCCCGGUGCACAAAGGGUGAGCAGUCAAAAUGGGGAAGGGUAGUACAGAAAUUCCGGCUGGCAAUAAAUCGCGAAGCGGGAUGCUCAUGGGGUUAGGGGAAAGGGAGCGUGGUGGACUCCGCUACCCUAGGGUAGAGAAGGAAAACAAAAAAAGUUAAUUAAAAAAAGCGGGGGGGGGGGGGUGGGCCGGGGGGGCACAUGACAGAUAUUUAACAUCAUUGAGCGACCUCGGCCAACGAGCACGAGCGGAGCUCAGCGUGGCGAGGUUGUGAGACGCUGCCACCCCUCCCCCCGCUGGACUCGGGCCGGCCGGCAGGUGGGCGCCGGAGACGAUGCGGAGCGGGACCUUCUCCCACGCGAGCGACGCGUGGACCUUCGGGGUGCUGCUCUGGGAGAUGUUCACCGGCGGGAAGGACCCGUGGCAAGGCCUCUCCGUCGCCAAGGUGCUGCAAAGACUGCACAGGGGAGGCGAGCGGCUGCCCUGCCCCCCCUCCUGCCCCCGCGCGCUCUACGACCUCAUGCUGUGCUGCUGGCGUCUGGCCCCGCACGAGCGGCCACCGCUCGGCCGCCUCGAGGGACGCGUGGCCCAGGUGCAGCUCCGGGUCGCGUCAGCUGAUGGUGAUUCUCCGCAGCUGGAUGGAAUCGCUCGCUGCACCGACAGAUCCUCGGCCCCCGCUGGCUACAGCGUGGAGAGCAGCUGCUGGUGGCACUGUCCGGGCCGGCGGGCGCUGCACGUCGCUCAGUUCCCCCCGCGCGGGGCCGCGUCUCCGCCGCAGGCGACGCCGGCGCCCACGAACAGCCCCGGCCGCGAGGCCCAGCUGCCCUGGCGGCGGCAGCCGGAGCACUCCUCGCCCAGCAACGCCGCCGCCGCCGCACACACGGACGGGCCGAGGCUAAAAGAGACGUCACCACCCGCAGCCGCAACCUCAAAGCCCACAUAUGAAUCGUCGCCGGUCGACGCGGACGAGGAGGAAAAUGUGUGCCACCGGAAGGUUCCCUUCCGCAAAUACUGCCAGCUGAAGAGCACCGGCAGCAAGGCGUGCCGGCCGCCCCCGCCCCCGACGCGUGAUCUCGCUGGCGGCGGCAUGGUGGGGCGGCCCGCGGACGCGCACGCCGCCGGCGGCCUCCUCUCCCUCCCGGCGGCACCGCCCUGCGCCGAGGGGGGGCGGCUCGACAACUUCCCGUCCCCCGCGCCGCACAGCCCCUGCCGCGCCGCGCCGCGCCCGCUGUGCCCGGCGCCCCGGCCCGCGGCGGCCGUCGGCAAUGGCAACGGCGGCGGAGCGAUCGCGUUCGGAGGCGGCGGCGCGACGGGAGGGCGGUCGCACUACGACAUCCCGCCGUGCGCGGCGGCGUCGUCGUCGCCGUCUUCGAGAGCCGUGGACUGGGAGUCCCGGCUGCCGGCGGUGCCGCCCCACGGACACGGCGGCGGCUGCGUUGACCUCGAGGGCGACGGCGUCGGGGGGGACGCGGACGACGCCGCGGAGCGUUCGCUCGACUCGGACUCGGUGUUCUUCGAGGGCGGCUGCGACUCGACGCUCGACCUGCUCUCCAACUUCUACGCGUCCGCCACCGGGGCCGCGCCGAGGACCGCCGCCGGCGUCUGCGGCGCCGGCGGAGCCGCGAACCGGGCGUACGAGCGCGAGAGCGUGGCGGCGCUGCGGGAGCUGCACCGCGCGAGCCUGCGCGCCCGCGAGCCCCCGUGCCGCGCCGCCCGCGCCUCGGCCCCGGCCUCGUGCGACUCCGAGCCCGGCGCCGGCUCGACGGCGACGACGCCGUCCCCCGGCGGCGCCGGCGGCGCGGCCGAGGAGAGGCCCGAGGUGCCGCCCCGCGCGCCCAUCCCCCCGCUCCCCGCCAAGCGCAACGGCUACCGCUGGUCGGCCGAGGUCUCCUACUACAUGUGGGGCAAGGACUGCCUGGCGGCGGCCAAGGCGCCGCUGCGCGAGUCCCUGUCGUGGGGCGGGGACGGCGCCGAGCGGCAGCGCCGGCCGCCGGUCGCGGUGGCGCCCGAGAGCAGCGCGUCCUGGGACGGCGGCGGCGGCGGCGGCGAGAGCCCCGCCAAGGCGCCGCUGCGCGAGUCGCUGUCGUUGGGCUCCGGCGACGGGGCGGCGGCGGCGGCGGCGGCGGCGGAGCGGCCGCCCCCCAAGCUGCCCGUGCGAGACUCCCCGCUCCCGCGGGAGGGGGCGGGCAGCCCCUCGCGACCGCCCCGCGUGCCGCCGCGCGGCGCCAGCGAGAGCGGCGCCGGCUUCUGGGCCGUCGGCUGCGAAGCGGCGGCGGACGAGACGGCGGCGUCGACGGAGCGGCCGCCGAGGCUCCCCCUGCGGCACUCGCCCUCGCUGGGCCCGGACAGCGAGGCCCCGCCGCGGGUGCCGCCCCGGGAGCCGCUGUCGCCGAGCGCGUCGCGAACGCCCAGCCCCAAGGGCUUCGGCUGUCCCUCCUCGUCGUCGCCGCAGCCCAUACCGGGGCCUCCCCCGCCGUGCCAGCAGCAGCAGCAGGCGGCUCUGUCGUCGUCGCCGCAGCGGGCGAUGCCGCCCACGCAGAGCUUCGGCUCGGAUCCCAAGUUCUCGACGCUGGGCAAGGAGAAGGGCUGCUGCUCCGGGCAGCCGGCGCGGGGCCCGUGCAUCCUCCCAAUCAUCAAGGACGGCAAGAAGCAGAGCAGCACCCACUACUACCUCCUCCCGGAGAAGCCGGCCUACCUGGACAGGUACGAGCGCUUCCUGCGAGAGAGUGACCCCAACGAGAGGUCACAGCCCCCGACCUCUGAGCCCGCGAGGACCCCGGAGGGCGUCUGUGAGGAGUUUUCCCGACUCGACUCCCUGAGCGCACAGGAGCAGAUCAGACAGGUGCUGGAGUGCGUACACGGGGUGACGACGGAGGAAUGCCACGCCGCCUUGCACGGCCACGCCUGGGAUGUCCCGCAGGCCAUUCACUACCUCAAGAGCAGCUGUUGAGCCUGGGGCUGGCGAGCCGUGGAGAAUGCCAGCGCCUGCUCGAGCGCUUCGACUCGAACCUCGAGCAGGCGAGCUCCUUCCUCCUCGAGUCGUCCCGCACACUGCGCCACAGACGGUGAAGACUGCACGUGGCUGGAUCGUAGGAACACAAGAAUGUGAUUUUAAUUUAUUAUCAUUUUUUUUAGUUAUUCGUUUUUUUUACGAGAGACGUCUGCUCGUUGGGGCAGACGGUGGCAGCUGUGUAACGGACCCAGGGCUCGAAAUGCACGCGAGCGGUCGCGUGCCAAGUGCGAGCGAAGCGAACGCACGCUUAACCGUUAACGCCGAAAAAACGACGCGGACAUUCCACUCGCCCCCCCUCACCCCGAAACCUCACAACCUCCUCGAAAGUACAUUUUGAAAGAAAAAAAAACUGAUAAAAAAAUUCCAAGCUGUAUAAAAAAUAUUAUUAAAAUCCCACGCCGCUGACUUAAAGAAUAAAAAUGGAAAGCAUAUGAAGGCAAGAAUGAAAUCGGUUGGCAGAGAAAGGGCCAUUUUCUGCACGAACGGCUAUCGCGAUGGGAGGCACAAUCAAGACUCGUGGAACAAACGGAGGAGAAUGGACUGGGCCGCAGGACCGGGCCUCGGGUCGCUAUAGCCAAUUCGGCGAGGGUUGCCUUGCCGGUGGCCUGAGGGACAGCGAAGAAUUUCCACUUUCCUGCUCCUGUCCUCCGCAAGACUCUACCUCCGGGUUCACGCUGUCCCCGUCGAACGUAGGCCUGCGAGCUGCUGUUACAAAUCGGAUGGGAAUGCUGAGCGAUGCGUUCGCACGAGGGCGUCCGUGGUUUUGGCUCGUAAUCUGAUUUGUGUUGAACAGACCCCACCCCCCCACCGGUGAGACCUAACCGAUUACCUUUGUGCGAUACGAUUUUAAAGAGAGCUUUUGUCGAGUUAACUCUCGAGGAUGCGAGUCGCACACGGGCGAUUAUUGUUGCUGCAGUAACGCCCUGCCCACGUCUCGCACCGCCAAUUGGGUUUUGGGCUGGACGGCCGCAGACGCCACCGUUGAGGUUUUCGCCGGCGCGCUCGGUCGCGAGCGAGCGUCCUUGAAGCGAAAUCCUCCGCAGCGUUUUAAAUUCUCGUCGCGAACGGGCUUCCCGCGCUCGUGACGAGUUGCCCUCGUCGGGAGCGCGGGAGCGAGCGCGGUGCGAGCGCGCAGCUCUGAACGUCGGUAGGCGGACGCCCUCGCUCCGUUGCCGUCUUCGUUCCGAUUGUGAGGGACGCUUCAAACGGCGCCCGGCGGGCGGGCGGGCGGGCGGGCGGGCGAGCGAGCGGGACGCGCGUCGCGUAUGACGCCCCCGGGAUCUACUUCGCCGUAAUAUUAAAACGUUUAAACAACAACAAAAAAAAAUACCGAAAGAUAAAAACAAAAAAUUCGAAGAGAAACAGAACAUGAAGAUACGUAAAUAAAAAUACAAAAAUCGGCGCCGCUAAAAGGCGGAACGAAACACCUCGUUCACGGGCAUAAUCGUCGUCCCAUAUUUUGAUGUGCAACACAGAUUGUGCGUGAGGUAGUCAUUAGAACGUAUACAUUUAUACAUGCAAGCCUGUGACGGUGAACACGGUCUCGAGUUGUUCAACUCUGGUUUAAACUCCCGUGAGGAAGCCUGCUUUUGCACGCUGCUUGGCGGCUAAGACUGUCGGACAUCACUUUGGGAUAUGUUGUGUGAUAUAUAUAUGACGUAUACCUAUGUCAUAUGCCAUAUACAAACAUACGUCCCGUAUCCAUAUACGCUUUCGUAUGAUGUAUAUCGCGUAACAUUCAUAUGAUAUACCUUAUGUAUAUACACGUGUUAUGUGUUUUGUUCUGUGCUUUGUUCUGAACCACACUUCGCCACUUUGUAUCCGUGACUGUGCUGAAAGGUUUAAUAUAUGAUAUAGUUUUCAUUACAAUAUUGCUGCUUUAGAGAUCAGAUUAUAUAUAUAUUUAAAAUGUGUUGCACAUUGCUGAAGGUUAAAUGUGUGUGUAAAGAAACAUGUUAUUUUAAUUUCUGUUCUUAUAUUUUUUUUAUAGCUAAAGUCUUAUUUAUGUCGUUUACCGAACUGUAAUGGAUGUAACAUUUUAUUUUUGUCAUUUUUUUCCACCCCAAGUCUGGCUGGUGACCUGGCGAGACCGGUAAUAAAAUGAAUGAUGUUAUUUUCA